AAGGGCUCUGAGGCUGGAGGGGAGAGGAUGAAUCUCAGGCAUGACAAGCACCUCCACCUAAUAGCAGUCAUGAGGCUUUUGUGAGGAGGCAGAAUUCCAAGUGAGGAAGAAGUGCCGCGGCUGAGUUGUGAGUUUAGGUCACUGCCUCAUUCGCUGCCUGACUAUGGAUGGCUUACCAGGGCUCCCCAAGCCCCGGGCCGUGGACCAGUACCAGUCCAGUGGCCUGCUGGGAACUGCUCCACACAGUGGGAGGAUGGAAACUGAGGUGCAGAGAGUUUGACCCACCCAGCGUCAGCCAGCCAACAGUAGUGGAUUGGGGACUGAAGCCCGGGCAGCCUGGCUGCAGACUCCUUGAGCAGUGUGCUGUGCCACCUGUCUACGUCAAUGGCCCAUUUCCUUGAAAAAUAUCUUGGGAGAGCAGAGACGGUGCCCUUCUAUGGUCCAUCAGAGGCUGCAGGUCACCCGCCAGAAAUGCCAAGCUGAGGAAGGAGCAGGGGAAGCUGUUGAAGCAAAUUGUGCAUAAUUAGGACUGUUGUCUCCUGCUAUGGUCUGAAGAUUCAUAUGUGGAAACCUAAUCCCUACCUUGGGGAUAGUAAGAGGUGGGGCCUUUGGGAGCUGACGAGGUCAUGAGGGCCCCACUGUCAUGAUUGGGAUUAGUGCCCUCAUAAAGGAGGCCCAAGGGAGCUUGUUCACCCCUUCCAACAAGCGAAGAUGAUGCAAGAAGGGGCCACAUGUGAUGCAGAGGGUGGGCCCUCAUGGAAUCUGCUGGCACAUUGACCUUGGACUGCCC
rnacentral:lncRNA from 1 species